ensembl:lncRNA
GCGCGCGUGCGCAGACGCGCCGGCGCCGGGGCGCGCGGCGAGCUGAGGAGAAAGCUGCGCGGCGGGCGGAGGUGGGCUCGCGGCCGGCGCCGCAGGAGGGAGGCACGGGGCCCCACAAGGCUGUCUGGUCUCUCGAGUGCUGUUAGCAGUGACCUUCGCCCCUUUCGGAGCCUGCUCACGGAGGGGCACAGGAGACAAGCUCUCCUUCUGUCCUGUGCAGUCCCGGUCCCCUGCCUGGCUCUUGGACCUUAGCCAUCUCCACUGGAUAUUGCCGACGGAGCUGCUGGCAGGGGUCAUGCGUGAGCGGUCAUGCUUUCUUCCUCCAGCCCGCCCAGGCUGUGCUCUCCUCUUACAGGCCAUUGAGAAGCCACUAUACAAGGCUUGGCCUGUUUCACAUAACCUGAAACUGUGUGUCCACCUAAUUGUUACACAAUUUUAAUUGGAUACCAAUUGUUUGCUGAUGGGAGAUUCUGUUACCAAUAAAAGCCCUCUCGCUGCGUAGAUGAAGCUCAGUUACCUGAUUCCCACCAAGAGCUCUUCUGGCUUCUGUCCCUUCAGCCUUCCCUUGAAUCCGUUUGUCCUCAUUCCCUGAUUACCCUCUGUAAUUCCUUUCUCGGCAGGCAUGGUUCCCGCCUUCCUGUCUUCCUAAACUUGUGGGCCUUAGAGGGAGCCUUAGGUGUGUGUUCACUCCGCCUGCCUCUGCUUUCUUUCCCUGCCUCCCUGGGUCGUCUCCUCCCCCACCUCCCAGCACACAGGCACGCACUCCUUUCUCGGUAGCCCGGUGAACCCAGACCCUGUGGCUUCUUGGAGCCGAUGAAGCUGGACCGUAGAAGUGUCUUUGAAUAUGAGCCAUGAAUGACACUCACUGGCCCCAAGCAGCUGUGCUCUCCAGGGCUGUUUCUGCUGCUUCCUGGGUGCAUGCCGCCUCAGCCUUCAGGAUCUAGGCCAGGCGGGUGCUGGCGGGGCAAGGCUCCCAGGCCCCUCUUUCCUCGUGGGCUGGGGGCCCAGACACCCUGUGCUUCUCCCUCACAGCAUCCGCACCUGAGUUGGUAGGGUCAGUACAUCAUGUCCCCGCAUCCUGAAGCUUG